GAUGAACGCUGACAGAAUGCUUAACACAUGCAAGUCGAUGGGGAAGUGGUGCUUGCACCAUGGCAACCAUGGCGGACGGGUGAGUAACGCGUAAGGGACUUACCUGCAGGACUGGGAUAACAGGGGGAAACUCCUGACAAGACCGGAUAAUGUCAUGGAGCUGCAUGGCUUUAUGAUGAAAGGAGACGCCUGCGGAGAGCCUCGCGUCCUAUUAGCUAGUUGGUGAGGUAAUGGCUCACCAAGGCGAAGAUAGGUAGCCGGCCUGAGAGGGUGGACGGCCACAAGGGGACUGAGAUACGGCCCUUACUACUACGGGAGGCAGCAGUGGGGAAUAUUGGACAAUGGGGGCAACCCUGAUCCAGCAAUUCUGUGUGCACGAAGAAGGUUUUCGGAUUGUAAAGUGCUUUCAGCAGGGAAGAAGUAAGUGACGGUACCUGCAGAAGAAGCGACGGCUAAAUACGUG
rnacentral:rRNA from 1 species